rnacentral:lncRNA from 1 species
UUGGAUAUGGGACUGAUGGGGAGGGGGUCCCUUGCUCCUCUGGCACUGCUGAUGUACCGCUUACAUCACAGGACUGCAUCACAAUGGGUAGCCUCAAAGCUUUUUCCUUUGCCUCAGUGCCUAUGGGGUAUGGGCAGGGGUUGGUGGCUGGAGGGUCAAGAUCCUGCAGAAGAUUGGGCUCCCCAAACUCUGCAGCCCCCAGAAGUUUCACACUGCCCUUUCAGCAAGCUUCGCCAAGCUCUCACCACUUCACCAACUACUUCAGAUCCUCCCUUUUUGCUGUUGACUCAUAGUCUAUUCCAGGGACUCAUUUAA